UGGACUUGCUGGCUAUCUGUCAUUUUUUUCUGCAACAGGUGUCUUUUCCUUGGUGACGUUUCUUGUAAAAGAGAUCCAUCAACAUACUUAAAUUAUGUCUUUGCCAUUUAUGAUUAUUACCAAAAGGAGUAUGGCAUCUCUGUGAAAGGAGAAAAUCCUUGUAAUAUCAAGUUGCCUCUUAUUGUGAAUACUUCUGGCUGGGUGAAAGGGGUUGGUUAUGAUGUAUUAGUGGACAUGUUGAAAUAUAUUUCUCCAACACAUGUAGUUAAGAUAAGCACAUCCAGUGAAAAUAAGAAUCUACCUGCUGGAGAAUUCUGGUUUGAUGAAGACCAGAUGGAACAAUUAACCUAAUGGAGAUAAAUUCAGCUCGUCAGGAUUCAUUAAAUAGAUCGGUACUUUUUCAGAAGGAUGCUCGUCCCCUACGCGAUUUACGAAUAAUGGCUUAUUUCAGACAGUGCUUUUCUAGUGAUUCAAAUAUUUCUACUAUGAAGGAACUUGCACAUGCCUUGGCCUCUCACUGUCCUUAUGAAGUUCCCAUUGCAAGCAUAAAGAUGAGGCAUCUUCAUUGUGAGGUCCCAAGCUCUGAAAUAUUCUUCAGUCUGAAUGCUACUAUUGUUGUCUUAGCUGUUGAUUUUGAAGGACCUGAAAAUUUACUGUUUUGGCCUUGGUGUCAAGUCUCAUUAAAAUGCACCCAAAAUCCCACUUGUCAGACCUCAUUAAAAACGCACUCAAAAUCCCUCUGAACGGACGCCAUGUGUCAAGCAAUAAGGAUUAGAAAUCAGAUAGUGGGAUGCAGGUGUUAGCAGAAGAGUGGACGCUCGUUUUGACGUGGGAAGAAAAAUGAUUUUCUGAAACUUUUUUCCCACUCACUUCUGCAUGCAACCAUUUUUCUCUCUGAUUUCCGAAACUCCAUUUUCUCCUCCUUCUCACUACACCUUCUUAUCUUCUCUCUAAGAAAUCUUACCUUUUCCCUUCUCCGAUCACCAUUCAGGCACCGUAGAAGCGUUUCUGGCGCCCUAAGCUUCAUUUUGAACUGAACAGCUUCGAGUUAUGAACUGUUUGAAGAGUUGGUUGAGUGUUGAGGGUAGAGGGAAUCGUAUUUCAGCGAACUGAGUUUUGGUCUGUAGGACGUACAUUCACACUA